AAUAGGGGAGCCGGAGGGAAACCGAGUCUUAAUUGGGCGUUAAGUUGCAGGGUAUAGACCCGAAACCCGGUGAUCUAGCCAUGGGCAGGUUGAAGGUUGGGUAACACUAACUGGAGGACCGAACCGACUAAUGUUGAAAAAUUAGCGGAUGACCUGUGGCUGGGGGUGAAAGGCCAAUCAAACCGGGAGAUAGCUGGUUCUCCCCGAAAGCUAUUUAGGUAGCGCCUCGUGAAUUCAUCUCCGGGGGUAGAGCACUGUUUCGGCUAGGGGGCCAUCCCGGCUUACCAACCCGAUGCAAACUGCGAAUACCGGAGAAUGUUAUCACGGGAGACACACGGCGGGUGCUAACGUCCGUCGUGAAGAGGGAAACAACCCAGACCGCCAGCUAAGGUCCCAAAGUCAUGGUUAAGUGGGAAACGAUGUGGGAAGGCCCAGACAGCCAGGAUGUUGGCUUAGAAGCAGCCAUCAUUUAAAGAAAGCGUAAUAGCUCACUGGUCGAGUCGGCCUGCGCGGAAGAUGUAACGGGGCUAAACCAUGCACCGAAGCUGCGGCAGCGACACUGUGUGUUGUUGGGUAGGGGAGCGUUCUGUAAGCCUGUGAAGGUGUGUCGUGAGGCAUGCUGGAGGUAUCAGAAGUGCGAAUGCUGACAUAAGUAACGAUAAAGCGGGUGAAAAGCCCGCUCGCCGGAAGACCAAGGGUUCCUGUCCAACGUUAAUCGGGGCAGGGUGAGUCGACCCCUAAGGCGAGGCCGAAAGGCGUAGUCGAUGGGAAACGGGUUAAUAUUCCCGUACUUGGUGUUACUGCGAAGGGGGGACGGAGAAGGCUAUGUUGGCCGGGCGACGGUU
rnacentral:rRNA from 1 species